UCAGUGUUUGUGGGAUUGUUUGUGUGUGUUCGUGACACUGUUUUUUCUCUCCUAUAUUUUGGAUUACCUUUGGAUUCAUUCUUGCACUCCAAAUUUGUUACACCUGUUUUGGAUUGGUUAUUCCCUUGGACUGCUUACCAGGUUCUUUAAACUGUUUCCUUAAAACCCACUAGUUGUAUCUGCUCGGUCUGAAGUGACUGCAUUUUGGGUCCAAAUUCCGGAUACCUGUCGCUUAGUUUGAUUGAAUCUUAAUAAAGGAGGGUUGUGAUUACAAGGUAAGUGGCUGAAAUCCAGAGAAGAGCAGGACGCCUCAUUAGGAGGACGUGACAAAUGUUUUUUAGUCAUACUAGGGAGGUGGCUCCAUGGAUGGCAAUGUCAGUUGGUCAGCCAGUCCACCACUUUGGUCCUAAUAGAAAAUAUCAACAACAAUUAGAUGAAUUUCCACGACAUUCUGUACAGACAUUCAUGUUCCCCAGAGAAUGCUUCCUUAUUUAUUUAACUUUAGUGAUGCUUAGAUUUUUCCUGCAGCAGCACCGUGAGGUUGAGGUUUAUAAUUUGGAGUGAAAACUCUCUACUACUACUGGAUAGAUAGCAUGACAUUUGGUGCCAAUAUUCAUGUACUUAUACUUGUGAUCUUUUGAUUUUCAUCUACUGCUAUUAUAGGUCAAAGUUUCAGUUUGUCCAACGCUUUGUUAAAGGACUUUUUCCAUUUAAAAACUGGGUUUUGCUUAUUGGUACUUGGAUGUUUGAGCUUCACUGCACAGAGUGUGACAUCACAAAUGGUCUGGAAGCCAAUCGUGGUCCAAUAUGCAACUUAGACAAGCGUGAUGUGAAACUUGAAGCCUCCAGCGCAAACACGUGAAUAAUUGAAGGAGGAGACAUCUUGUAUCCAACAGUUAAACUGUAAAAACAACACACAUUUGCAUAUGUUCUGGAUUUUUCAAAAGGGAGAAGCAGUAGAUCCAUCCAUCGUCAACCGCUUAUCCUGCGUACAGGGUCGCGGGGGGCUGGAGCCAAUCCCAGCUGACGUCGGGCGAAAGGCGGGGUACACCCUGGACAGGACGCCAGUCCAUUGCAGGGCGAGAAGCAGUAGAUGUAAUUUGAAAAGUAACAAGGGACCAAUAAAGUUCCAUCUCCUGCCUCCUCUAAGGCCACUCCUACAGGCCAUUUCUGUAAGUGAGAAUAUUAUAUGUUCUUUCUCAAUCUGCCAAGUCAAACAACUGUUUAAACUGUGUAAUGCAUUAAUGAUGAAAAAUGGAUCUGUG